GAUGAAGAACGCAGCAAAAUGCGAUAAGUAAUGUGAAUUGCAGAAUUCAGUGAAUCAUCGAAUCUUUGAACGCACAUUGCGCCCGCCAGUAUUCUGGCGGGCAUGCCUGUUCGAGCGUCAUUUCAACCCUCAAGCACAGCUUGGUGUUGGGACUCGCGUUAAUUCGCGUUCCCCAAAUUGAUUGGCGGUCACGUCGAGCUUCCAUAGCGUAGUAGUAAAACCCUCGUUACUGGUAAUCGUCGCGGCCACGCCGUUAAACCCCAACUUCUGAAUGUUGACCUCAGAUCAGGUAGGAAUACCCGCUGAACUUAAGCAUAUCAAUAAGCGGAGGA
rnacentral:misc_RNA from 1 species